GCCCCACUGGUUGCUCAAGCUGCCACUCGUGAUUGGAAGGUCGAACAACUGAGUGAUACUUCAGACAGCCCUGACCGCCCCCUUUGCCUAAUAAAAUAUGAGUGACAGGCAAAAAGAAGUACAACAUCCACACAGAGCCAGUAAAUUAUACAGUAAAGUCUUCCUCCUUGGAACUGCACCAUUUCGAUAUGUCAUUUCAGACUAAUUAUCUUUAAAAUCCAGGCAUAAUGGUCUAACAUCGGCGUUCCGCUUGGCCUUAACUCCACAUUACUCGACAAAGUUAUAAAAACGAUAGUAUUAAGAGAAAAUAUAAGUGUGAACAACUCAAUGACAUGAUAAAUAUUAUCACAGGUUUAAACCAUCUAUACACCUCCAAGUCAAUGGCUAAAUAUUAUCACAGGUUUAAACCAUCUUUACAUCUCCAAGUCAAUGACAUGAUAAAUAUUAUGACAGGUUUAAACCAUCUUUACACCUCCAAGUCAAUGACAUGAUAAAUAUUAUCACCGGUUUAAACCAUCUUUACACCUCCAAGUCAAUGGAUAAAUAUUAUCCCAGGUUUAAACCAUCUUUACACCUCCAAGUCAAUGACAUGAUAAAUAUUAUGACAGGUUUAAACCAUCUUUACAUCUCCAAGUCAAUGACAUGAUAAAUAUUAUCACAGGUUUAAACCGUCUUUACAUCUCCAUGUCAGUGACAUGAUAAAUAUUAUCACAGGUUUAAACCAUCUUUACAUCUCCAUGUCAAUGACAUGAUAAAUAUUAUCACAGGUUUAAACCGUCUUUACAUCUCCAUGUCAAUCAUUUUGGAUUUAAUAGUUAACCAGGAAUCAGCCUGUAAGACAACUAUGUGUGAAACUAUAGAAAUGUGCUGUAAUUAACAAAUGUAGUCCAAAUUUCAGUUCACAGAUCAAUACAAAUCAGUACAUUGACAUACAUCAAUGCAAAACAUUAUCACAUAAGUAAUAAAACUAUAUAACAAUCACGAAAGCUCAAAUUAAAAAAAUCAAAUAAAAUGCAUAUUGCCAAACCCGAAUACAAGAGCACAUGCAAAAGACACAGGAACAUAGUACAUAAAGCAAUGCCCCGUCUUAUAUAAUACGUGACAGUGUAAAGGAAGGAUACGGGUUGAAUUUGUAAUGUAAA